AGCAGCCGCGGUAAUUCCAGCUCCAAUAGCGUAUAUUAAAGUUGUUGCAGUUAAAAAGCUCGUAGUUGAACUUCGGGGUUUACCCAUUGGUCAGGCUUAAUUGUCUGUACUGGUGAGAUAAAUCUCUACCUUCUGAGGAACUUUCAUGUCAUUAAUUUGGUGUGAUUGGAAAUCAGGACUGUUACUUUGAAAAAAUUAGAGUGUUUAAAGCAGGCUAACGUCUGAAUACAUUAGCAUGGAAUAAUGAAAUAGGACGGAUUGAUUCUAUUUCGUUGGUUUCUAGGAUCACCGUAAUGAUUAAUAGGGAUAGUUGGGGGCAUUAGUAUUCAAUUGUCAGAGGUGAAAUUCUUGGAUUUAUUGAAGACUAACUACUGCGAAAGCAUUUGCCAAGGAUGUUUUCAUUAAUCAAGAACGAAAGUUAGGGGAUCGAAGACGAUCAGAUACCGUCGU
rnacentral:rRNA from 1 species